UCUCACUGCUUUGAAAAUUUCAGCGCCGGUGUUAGUACCGUCGGUUUCCGCCGGUUCUCGCCGUCAUUUAAAGUCCGCGAAAGAGAAACAUUUUAAAUUGCCAAAGUAAUAAUCAGUAACAACCACGUGGCAGUGAUCGUGGUGUAUCGGCGUGAUUUGUGUUACUUUGAAGUGCUUUAAAGUGAUUUUGUGUUUUUUACGUAGCGUUAUGGCGCCUAGGACAUGCAAAGUAAGAGGAUGUAUCGCACAGGGAAAGCGGCUUCGGCAAUUUCCCGAUUUGAUAAAAGAUAGGGAACGUUGCCUUAAGUGGAUAGCAGCGUGCGAUAAUCCCGAUCUUCUGAAUAUGAAUUCGUUAAAAAAUAUGUAAAUCUGCGAUGUCCACUUUGAGGACUUUUAUAAAUUAAAUAUCCGUCUAAGCACUUCAGCAGUGCCAACUCUUCAUUUGCCAAACGGUGGACAAAAUCCAUCAUGAAUCUCUUACAAACCCAUCCAAACUGGAUUCCUGCAAUGAAUUGUUUAUUAAAAUUAUUCCUAAUAAGAGUGAUGGCACUUUGACUAUCGUUGACUCGACGAGCGGCGAAAGCGGAAGGUGGAACCUCUCUCGCAGUGAUAUUGGUAUGACUAAACCUGGUCUAAUAAACAACUUGAGUACAAUUGCUAAGUUUGGAACAAAAGCAUUUAUGGAAGCUUUACAAACUGGUGCAGACAUCUCUAUGAGGAAUGACAGAGGUCAUUUGCCAGCCUGACGGACAGUUGGCCAAACUGUCCCCUUCUAUAUAAAAUGUCUACAGCCAUGGAUCCAUCACCUUGGGAUCCACGCUGGAGCAAACAUGACCGCGGAGGAGCGUUCAUUGUUUAUAAAUGGGUGAUCAUUGCCGCCUUUCUGUACCCCAACAGCCCAUUUCUAUCCGAAACAAUAAAUAUGUAAGAGUAGCUUUUUCCACAAUAGUCUGCCACUCGAUUCUGUCUCCAGAUUCUUUUUAUGACUUGAUCAUUUUAAUAUGGCAGCAUUAGCAUUAUGAUUUUCUUUUGUAUUCCAACAUUAUUUCAAUUUCAUUGCAUACUUUUAUCAGUCCAUUGAAACACUUUUGUCUCCUCGUAUUAAAAUUGUGAACAAUUUCGUGCGUAAUAAAAAGUCCUAACAUGAUUAAAAAUCUGUGAUAUUUCUUCCUUUUACACUUAACAUAAAUACAUCUAGUAAAUAUUAAUAAAUACAUGAAAUAGUAUAUACAUCUCUACUCAUAUCUUUUACAUUUUAAUUAUAUCCAUUUAAAUAUAACUUUCCUUUUUUCAUGACAAUAUAAUACACGUGAACCUAUUUAAACCAAAUUAACUAAAAAAGAUAAAUAUAGAAAAAGUAGUUGAAAUAUUUAAUUUUAUAACUCAAAUUCCAAUCUGUAUUCAAUGAAUGACGUAUAAAAAAUUCUUUUAUUCAUUAUCCGAAACUGUUAUCUAUAAUAUCAUUCAUUCGUGAGCCUGUACUGGCCUUUCUUCCUGCAGUUCAUCCUAUUUAUAUAAUUCGAUUUACGUGGAAAGCUUUGAAAUAAAUUGAUCUCGCAUAUCGACAUCAUUUUGUUUACAGUUAAAAGUACACCUUGUAUACAGGCAUAUUGUGAAACGCGUUAGUGACACUCCUCACUGGCAUUCACCACACGUGGUGAACGGAUUCACUGAUCUUGUCAGUAGCGUAUUAUCAUAUACAGGGUGUCCACAUCUAAAAUGAGGCCCUAAAGUGUUACAUAAUAUACACCAUGUAAUCCUUUUUUUUACAGUUUCUUAGAAAUUCAGUGGUAGUAUAGCGAUAUCGCGAGCGCCUGAUAAGCAACUAACGGGUAUAAAACGAGAAAAGUUAAGUAAUUCACAAUGAUUCAUUUUCUUCUUCACAUAAGAUUCACAAAUUUUACUUUACUUUGGGCCUUAUAAAAAAUACAACGCAACGCACCGCUGCAUCUUAUAUAAGCGCAUAUAAAGAGAGGGACUUUCACAACAGUAUAAGCUGAAUAAAGAAAAUAUAGGAUGUCCAAAAAAUGUUGUAACACCUUGAAAGGG